UUACACCGUCGAUUUAUGUACCUCAAAUGAAAAGUAUUGAGUGGAGGGUUUGAUUUCAUCAUACUCCAUCCGGAGACAGUUCACUACACAGUCACUAAGUCUUCUUGGUAGUGCUCCUCCUAUUAUUCCCGUGAAGCUUUUUUUGAUGGAGGGUCAAAUUCUUUUCCUAUAAACAAAACACCAUGCAGACCAAAAAAAUCGGACCAGUGCAAAAUUUUCUGGGAUCCCCCAUCACCUUGUUGAAUAAUCUCUUUGUUUGAGUUAUUUUGAAGUGACCAGAUUAAGAAUGGGGCUGAAUCAGGGUAACUUGUCAUUUUUGAAUUAAAACAGGCGUGAUCAUUGCAAGAGGAGAGGAAUCAUGAUUUAUUGGGGAAAAAUGUGGAUAAUUACAAGGAAUUGUCGAUAAUUUAGGAUGAAUGGGGAUCAAUAUACAUGUUGGAACAUGUUGCAAUGAACAGCGUUACAAAUUGAAAAUAUGAGGGUGAGUGCCAAUACGCUGUGAUAAUACACACAGCGUACUGACUCUCAGUCUCACAUUCUCAAUUUACAUGUUGUGUACAAGUCGAGAAAAGUCAGGGAAUUUGAUGAGAAAGACUGGACAUUUUUUCUAUAUUUUUUUCUUUUAACGGGUUCGUACAUUUUUACCUAUCUGGACAUGGUUGCAAAACACCAAUAUACAGAAUUAAAAAACUUAAUUGGGAUCUGGUGCUUCAUGCUUUCCCAAGUUUCUUUAGGAUUUUGUGCUUGCACAUUGGGACUCAAUGAGGAAGUAGUAAAUAUGAGUUUAUUUGGAUUUGUCUCUCUGUCUCAGCAAUGAACGAUGAUUUGAGCAGCAAUUGCUUUUCGCAAAAAAUCAUUUCGACUGGAAUUACAUAAUACCAAAAUUGUUCAUUUUAGUCUUGUUCUUGCUCGUUGUUAGCGUGGAAAGUCCAAGAAUUUUCUCUUCCGAACGUCUGUAGACACUAUGAUUUAGCAUAAUCAAAAGCUCCGCGUGAAUCUGGAUGAAUCGCUAACCUUGAGAAUUGUUGGGUUACCUUUAAAAGAACUCUAACAUUGUGUUCUCCAAUUUUAUAAAAGAGACUCAACACAUUUGAAUCAGAGGAGGGGGCCUUAUUCGUUGCAAAUUCAAGUAUCAAGAAGUUAAUGGAAUCUGUGUGCUCCCAGCAUAAUCAACAAGUUGUCCUUUCAGGAUAUUAGGAUUAUCUCUCUAAUAAUUCCCUCAGUUGUUAUGUAGUGUCAGUGAUCGUAGUUCUUCUAAACUUAGCAAAUUCAGUAACCUAAGUUUCUUGUCAUUUUGCCAGCUAGUGAGCUGUAUCUUAACUGUUACUAUUCCUGAGAAUAGCAGUACAACACAUGCUUUGUCUGUUCUGCAUCUAGGACUGUUCUAUGAUUGUUAACUUCAUGCGUAGUUCUAGUAAUAUCAACUGCAUUUUAUUUAUUAAGUAAAGUGUAAUUAAUUUCAGUUUUUGAUUAAAGUAUUGUUUUACUUUUGAUAUGUUUCCUUUUUUUGUAAAUACAUCAUGCAUCUUAUUAUUAAAUUUUCUUUUUUUAAAACGAUUCCUCUGUUUCUUCUUCAUCCUCUAUCUAAUUUUCAAAUCAGAUAAAUUUUACUGCAAGAUUGGCUCUCAAUUUUCU
rnacentral:lncRNA from 1 species